GUCUACGGCCAUACCACCCUGAACACGCCAGAUCGCCUCUGAUCUCGGCUGCUAAGCAGGGCCGGGCCUGGUUAGUACUUGGAUGGGAGACCACCUGGGAAUACCAGGUGCUGUAGGCU
ensembl:rRNA 5S_rRNA 5S ribosomal RNA